rnacentral:lncRNA from 1 species
AUACACACACACUGCAUUUAUACACACACACACACACACACACACUGCAUUCAUACACACACACUGCAUUUAUACACACACACACACACACUGCAUUCAUACACACACACUGCAUUAUAUACACACACACACACUGCAUUCAUUAUAUACACACACUGUAAAUAAAUAUUCAAUUAAUAUAAUUUUCGGGGGAUAUAAUUUUAUUUAGAAAUUUACCAGUAGCUGCUGCAUUUCCCACCCUAGUCUUAUACUCGAGUCAAUAAGUUUUCCCAGUUUUUUGGGUUAAAAUUAGGGGUCUCGACUUAUAUUCAGGUCGACUUAUACUCGAUUAUACACAGUAAGUGAAUAUACGAGCAUGGAGAGAUAAUUAAGGGCAGUUGGGAAUUGAAAACAGAGUGUGCAAACACAUCUAUACAUUAAAUACCCACAUAUGUCACACAAAAUGUUCCUUCAUGCACACAUUGGCACUCUAUAACAAGACACCACUAAAUUCACAUACUGGCACUCUAAACAAAUACACCCGUCAUUUACAUGCACUCACUACCCCUUCACAUAAAUUUGCUCUUACAUACACAUUGACAUUCAGCAACCAAACCAACCACAUACUCUGAACUCAUCAGAUUCUCUAUCCACCCAGUCACAUAGUCCCAUCUUACCUCCCAGUCAUUCCCUGUCACAUUAAAAGAACACUAUAGUGUCAGGAAUACAAACAUGUAUUCCUGACACUAUAGUGUUUAACUACUUAAGUCUCUGGCCCCCGUUAAAUCAUUGAAAAUGUCUUUAAACGCAACCUUUUCUCCCAUUGAAUCAAUGCAUCUCUAUGAGUAAUGACAGGCUAUAGACACCAGAACCACUAUAUUAAGCUAUAAUGGUUCUGGUGACUAAAGUGUCAUUUUAAUACAUUUAGCCACAAAAAAUUUCACGUACACCCACCCACCCUGGACUUAUUGCAAUCCAACCACCCACCUAGUCAUAUUCACCAUACAGUCAUACACCUAACUAGUCACAUUCUUCCAUCCAAUUGCAUACUCCAAACUAGUCACAUUAUUCCAUCCAAUUUCAUACCCCAAACUAGUCAGAUUAUUCCAUCCAAUUGCAUACCCCAAACUAGUAAUUUUAUUGCAUCCAAUUUCAUACCCCAAACUAGUCAUAUUAUUCCAUCCAAUUGCAUAACUCAAACUAGACACAUUCAUCCAUCCAAUUAUACACACCAGGCUUCAUCCUAAAAGAAAAUCGGCCCUGGAUAGAUGUGUGGAUUUCUACAUUUCAUUUUAUGUUUCAGACCUCACAAUUACAUACAUUCAAAAUAUAGGUGAUGCAUGAACACAAAUUUAAAGAUCCACGGACUACUACGUCAGCAGAGCUACCGUCUUAACGCAUGGGCAUGCUGGGCAGUUUCCCUGGGGGCGCAACGAGCAUAGGGGACCCAUAGGCUUGUCAACGUUUCAGUAUAUUAUUCCAGGAGAUUUAUUCAGAACCUUCAAACCCUCUUCAUUAAAAAACGUUUAGGUGGACUAAUCAUUUCAGUAUCAGCUGUUAUCUUUACAUAAAUAAUUCAUAGUAAUUUAGUACUGUGUCAUAUCCGUCGUAUGAUUUACCAACUGAGUACCAUUUUUAUGUUGAAUUUCUUGUUUUUCAAAUUUAAGGCACAUGUUGUAUUUUCCAAUGAUUUUUGUGGAUUAAUCUCUGCUGUACAGCAUCUUUUUUAAUGUUUAAACACGGAUUUUGUUGGUGGUACCAAUAAAUAGAUACAUUUUAUCGAUAUUUUACAUUUAUAUUCCUGUGAGUGCUUGUGUAGGCCCCAG